AAGGAAAUCUAUCCUCCUGGGGAGGUCCCAUGCUGAGUGACCGUGGGAAUACUGGAUUAACUGUGUGGUCCUGACUCCUGUAGUGUCCUUGAGGUAUUUGCUUUACCUUUAGACCUGAGAGGACCCGGCAAGUUCCCGGUACCAGUUUCGACUAUGAUCGUUUAGUGUAUUUUGUUCCAGUGGCCACUGUUGGGACUGGCGAACACGACGCUUCGAGCUGCUGGGUAAGAGCAAGGUAUAUCUUAUUCUAUAUACCUUGGAGCAAGGUACCUUGGGCAAGAGUUGUCGGUUAUGGGUGUGUGGGCGCCAGGUCACACUACUCUCACAACAUACUGACAUUGGAUCACGAUUUCGGGGCAUGUGCCAUGACGGUGUGAACAGAAUCAUCACCUGCAAACCCUCACUGGAGAUAUAUUGUGCCCAAUCAAAUACUCGUAAAUUGUUACAGGUUUUACUUGUGUUAGCACUUGCUAACAAAGGUCAUUUUUUUUAGUAUGUAAGUUGGCUAAAGAAGCAGCAUAAUUCAAUGCAAUUGCCAUAGUCUUUCAUUGAACUUAAAAUACGGAUUCUCACAGUGAAUCUAUAGAUUUCAUAACUUAAUAUAAAAAAGAAAUAGGUUGGGACAAAUUCAACAAUUAUUACUGUAUAGACUUUAUGAAUCAAAACUGUUGGUCUUUAUAUAUGAAAUAGAAUAAAAUCC